rnacentral:rRNA from 1 species
CUAAAUACUACCCAGUGACCGAUAGCGUAUAGUACUGUGAAGGAAAGGUGAAAAGGACCCCGGGAGGGGAGUGAAAUAGAACCUGAAACCUUGUGCCUACAAGCACAUAGAGCACAUCAACGUGUGAUAUGGUACUUUUUGUAGAACGGUCCGGCGAGCGAUUGUAUGUUGCGAGCUUAAGGUCUUAAGGACUGGAGGCGUAGCGAGAGCGAGUCUGAACAGGGCGUUCAGUAACAUGCAAUGGGCCCGAAACCGGGUGACCUACCCAUGAUCAGGCUGAAGUGAAAGUAAAAUUUCAUGGAGGGCCGAACCGACCUCCGUUGAAAAGGCGGCGGAUGAAUUGUGGGUAGCGGAGAAAUUCCAAUCGAACUCGGAGAUAGCUGGUUCUCCCCGAAAUAGCUUUAGGGCUAGCCUCAUAUUAGAUACCCGGAGGUAAAGCACUGAAUGGCCUAGCGCCCGAGAGGGUAGCGAAGCCUAUCAAACUAAGAAUGCCGGAGUAUUGAUGUAUGGGAGUCAGACAGUGUGAGAUAAAUCUCAUUGUCAAAAGGGAAACAGCCCAGAUCUACAGCUAAGGUCCCAAAUUGUAUCUAAGUGGAAAACGAUGUGGAAAUACGCAGACAACCAGGAUGUUGGCUCAGAAGCAGCCACUCAUUUAAAGAGUGCGUAAUAGCUCACUGGUCGAGCGUCUCUGCGCGGAAAAUUUAACGGGGCUAAGAUACAAACCGAAGCUUAGGCUGCAUCGUAAGAUGCGGGGUAGGGGAGCGUUGUGUAAGCGGAGAAACAGUAGCGUAAGCGGCUGUGGAGUUUACAGAAGUGAGAAUGCCGGAAUGAGUAGCGCGAAUGUGGUGAGAAUCCACAUGGCCGGAAACCUCAGGUUUUUGGAGGAAGGUUCGUCCGCUCCAAGUUAGGCGGGAGCUAAGGUCAGGCCGAAAGGCGUAGCCGAUGCACAGACGGUAGAGAUUCCGUCCCCACCGAAAGAUUUAAGCACAGGGACACUUUUUGAAGGUCGGAGCCAGGUGUUGGUUCUGGUAGUGAUCGAGGGAAAUAUAGUACCGAAGUCCGGCUGGAAGAGAGGCGAGAAAAGCUGUGUGUAUAUCUAAGGUGCCCGUACCGCAAACCGACACAGGUAGGUAGGAAGAAGAUUCUAAGGCCAACGGGAGAAGGGUUGUUAAGGAACUCGGCAAGUUGACCCCGUAACUUCGGAAUAAGGGGUGCUCACGAGAGUGAGCCGCAGAGAAUAGGCCCAGGCAACUGUUUACCAAAAACACAGGUUUGUGCUAAAUCGAAAGAUGACGUAUACGAGCUGACGCCUGCCCGGUGCUGGAAGGUUAAGAGGAGAUGUGCAAGCAUUGAAUCGAAGCCCCAGUGAACGGCGGCCGUAACUAUAACGGUCCUAAGGUAGCGAAAUUCCUUGUCAGGUAAG